ACGCGAAGAACCUUACCAGGUCUUGACAUCCCACUGACCGCUAUGGAGACAUAGCUUUCCCUUCGGGGACAGUGGUGACAGGUGGUGCAUGGUUGUCGUCAGCUCGUGUCGUGAGAUGUUGGGUUAAGUCCCGCAACGAGCGCAACCCUUGUUCUUAGUUGCCAUCAUUUAGUUGGGCACUCUAAGGAGACUGCCGGUGACAAACCGGAGGAAGGUGGGGAUGACGUCAAAUCAUCAUGCCCCUUAUGACCUGGGCUACACACGUGCUACAAUGGACGGUACAAACGGUUGCCAACCCGCGAGGGGGAGCUAAUCCGAUAAAACCGUUCUCAGUUCGGAUUGUAGGCUGCAACUCGCCUACAUGAAGCCGGAAUCGCUAGUAAUCGCGGAUCAGCAUGCCGCGGUGAAUACGUUCCCGGGCCUUGCACUCACCGCCCGU
rnacentral:rRNA from 1 species